ensembl:lncRNA
GGGGACUGAUGUGGUUAAUUAUUAUUUAUUUAUUUGGGGUAGGGGUUUGUUUGUUUGUUUGUUUCAUUUUGUUUUUAAUUAGAGUGAGAUUUUCUCAUAAAUAAUGAAAUUAAUGUUUUUUGCAUCCAAAAUAAGCACCGUAUGGUCAGUGAGAAAGGGACCAGGAAAAGAUGAGGAAGGCAUGGCAGCUGAAGCUGAUGUGGAGACAAAAUGGACUGACUGGCAGCAGAGGAGCUAGAAUUACUGAUAAUGGCUACUCUGUACAAGACACUGUUC